UUAAUUUCUAAUUUUAGAAAUAGAGCAAAAGGACAUAUAGUGCAAAAUUUUGAUUCUGAUUUAGGACACAAGUCUAAACAACGAAUACAGUUAUCUGAAGAGAGCAGUAUCAUUUCUUUUGCUCCUGUGAUCAAAUCCCUUUUUCUAGCCCUGAUCUGUGUGAACCGUCUUUCACAUCUGCUGUAUUCUGACUUGGAUUCUUUGUGCAGUUAUACACGAGCGACAGCUGGGUCUUGCUGUCUUGCUUCUGUUUUGUUGUUUUAGGGUCUCACUCUAACCCAGGUUGAUCUGGAACUCCCUGUCUGCCCAGGCCAGCCUCAGACUCGUAGGGGAUCCUCCUUCCUCGGGUUCCUAAAUGGUGAGAUUUUAGGUAUGAGCUGGCACGUACAGCUAACUUCUGUGGUUCAGCUUCGGUGGUUUGAAGUUUUAAUCCCGAUGCCUUUCACAGCUCAUUUUCUGCUGUUUUACUUUUGUUUGCUUGAAGCCAAACCAACGUUUCGUAUAGUAAAGGACAUCUUUUCCUUAAACUUUUAUCACUUCCAUUUCAGUGAGUUUGUGAGUUCUGUGGUUGUGUUUCUGUUCAUUUACUUAGUAGAUUUUGUUUAUCUUGUUUUGUUUUUAGGAUUCUUUGGGGAAAUAUCUCAUGGUGAGAAACAUCUUAAUGAGUAUCUGCAAAAGUCCAUCUGGUUCGUGUGUGAAGGUGGUUUUGCUUUGUGCAUGAUUUUCCGUUAUCAUUCAGGAGUGUCAGUUCACUUGUCUCCUUUUCCUUGUUGAGAAAGAAGGGCCUCCUUGCACUGCAGUGCCUUUGUAAGUGGUCUUGUUCCUAUCUUCAAGUGACUGAUCUUUUGUUCAACAUUUGCAUCCCCACCGUUUCCGCCAUACUCCUGAUGUUCCUAAUCUCUCCUGUGACUGGCUGGGCCUAUACUCGAAGGUUUAUGCUGCUCACACCCUAAAGCUCUUUCCUGGCUGUCUCCAUAUUAGUUUGCUGCUAUGGAAACGGUUGGUAUCUUAUGUCCUGUUUCCCAGGACUGAUAAUCUGCCCCAUGUUUUACCUGUAGUGACUAGCUAGCCUUGGGAAUAAACUUUCUAAAUCCCUCAGCAGUUUAGUAUAUCUGUGACACUGCUUUGGGCCACCUUGUGAAUAAGUAGAAGUAGGUAGGACCCACAUCAGAAUCUUUCUUUUAAUAGGCUGAAGCCAGUGUGCUGCAGUAAGUUACCUGGGUCCAUAGCUGAAAAGGGUGAAGAGACCUUCCUAGAGUCUAUGAGGGAAAAAUAUGCUUUUCUUUCUAUACGCCUCAGUUUUUAGUCAAAUGAUUAUUUUUAGAAGUGGGUAUCUAUGUAAUAUUAACAGUGCCUGUGAUACUAAGUAGUAUUGGCAAGGUUUGGUAAUGCAAGGCCUUAAUAUAUAAAUUUAAUAUCACUUGUCCAAAUUUUUAUUUGACCUCCUUCCUCUCAAAUCUGCCCAUCAUGUAUACAUAUAUAUGUGACAUCUCAUAUGCUUUUUUAUGAUUCCAGGAUUAAUUUCUAGCAAAUUUUUAUUUUAGAUUUAUCAAAACAAAACAAAAAGAAUGCAUAUGUGCGUCUGUAUGAGGAUGUUUGCAUGUGAGUAUAAAUUCCCUUUGGAGGCUAAAGGGGAGUUAUAAUUAGCUGUGAACUGUCCAAUGUAGGCCCUCUGCAAGAGCUACCGCUCAUUGGUUCUCUAGAGUCAGCGUUGCAUUUCAGAGUCCGAGGUGCCUUAAGAGGAGAGCAAAUCCCACGCUGUUGAUGGGACUUUGUUUCUUUGUGUGUUUCACAGUAUUUCUCUUUGACUUUUGCUUUCUUUUUGUUUUGAGUUGAUUUUCUUGGGUUGUAAUCUUGGUUGUCUGCUUGAUUUGAUCUGUAAUCAAUUAAGAGACAAGCCUCUGGACAGAUCUGUGAAGGUAUUAGCUAGAAAGAUUAACUCAAAGAGAAGACCCCCCCCCCAGCCCCCAUAUCCUUCCAACUGCCUGGGUAUAUGCAAGUCAGCAAGAAAAACAAUUGCUCUUCGCUGGCUUCCCUGACUUGCUCAUGAGUGCAUAUAGUUUGUAUGUGUGUCUCUCUCUGAGAAUAUGCUCAGUGGGGAAGAAGACCACUUCUAACUUGUUUCUCCUAGAGUAGCUAGGACCCCAGACUGCAACUGACACACGUAAGGAACCAGUUGCUCUGCUGGCAUAAAUGGAAAUAGAGCAUCAUCACUGGGGCAUCUGUCCAAGAAGUGCAAACCACUUUAGGAAUAAUUUAAGUAGGAUUGAUCUGAACAAGAAUCAAGUCCCAAUACAUGGUGACUUUCUCAGAUUUCAGCCCGGCAGCCUUAAGAGCUUGCCAGAGUUACUUUAUACCUCAGAGUUGAAUCAGUGUUCAUCCAUGUCAUGAUUAUGUCUGAGGGUAGCCUGGGCUACAUAGUGAGUUCAAACCACUAAGAGAUGAGUUCCAAGCUGGUCUGAGCUACACACACAAUCCAGGCUAGCCUGGCCCACAGUAUACAGUCCCUAGCUUCUCCCAAAAAAGGAUUUUGUUGCUGAGGGUUAAAGUGUACUUUUCUUGCUGUCACAUUUUUUUAUGCUGCUGCUGUACGCCAGAGUUCAAAAGUAGAAACAGGUUAUAAACAGAAUACCCACUCUUCCUAAAAACUGGAUACACAAUAUUCAUUAUUGACACAACUUAAUUGAUGUAAACACUCUAGGAAGCAAACAUUGAUUUUUCUCAGGAAUUAAUUGGAAAUGAUCAAUUACUCUAUCAGAAUAGUGGCACCACCUCAUUAAUCAGACGCUCAUUGUCCUGGUAGGCUAAGGAUGCCCUUUUGACUUAGGAAUAUGCUAGCCCUAAGGGAAAGAGCUGAAAUCAUUACAGUGAUGGCCGUCUCCAGCUGUCUCUGGGAGCGUCAUUGUUCUUAAUACUGAGGUUGGGGUUUGACUUAAAAGGAGCUCACCAUGUCUGAAAGUCCUAUUGUGGCUCUAUCCUUUUACACAGGGAGUGAUAUGAAACCCAACCUGAGAUAAGUUCCAUACACAAUGACUGUCAUGUCCAAAGGAAACCUCAGUUCUCCAAAAUCCAAAAGUCUGUCC
rnacentral:lncRNA from 1 species